AGGAAAUGAGGCAACAUGGACACACUCAUUUACCCAACAGCAUGCUGGGUAGAAAGAACCGCGUACGGAUAGUUCUAAUGUGAGUGACAAGGUAAUGCAACAUUGUCAUUAAGUCCAAGGCUGAGUGCCGAGAUCUGCGCAGCGGGUAAGCGACGUCUACCUGGGAGCGGCAUAUCAAGAAACGCUGCCUGUUACGUGGACUGCAGUUGGUGACCAUUUCCUCAGAGUCUGUUGCUAUGCACAGCUGCAAGUGUUCCCAGGAGCGUGCAGGUGCCAGCAUGUUUAGUAGCGGGUGAUGUUUGAAUAAAAAGGAUCUUGUCACAAGAACAAAAGACUGAUGGCUUUACCACCACUGGGGUUGCUUAUGGUGUCAUGCCACCUGGACCCACCUCUUCCUGCCGACUACGCCACUGUAAGAGAACAGACAAGGCCACGAUAAAGAUUUGGUUUUAGAGGCAAAGAACACACACAACAACUGUGGAAACGUCUUCACAGACACAAGUUCAUAACUGAGCUGAUCUAAGAUGGCAGAUCUUCCUGCUCUGAAGACUUCCAGAAGGAAGAGACAACCUUGGUACCCUACCCGGGACAGGAAUGUGUGCGAUUCUCAGAUUUCUGCUUGGCCUUCCAUCUGCACAGUGUUAUAGGACAAUUUCAAAUAUACUCCCCACUGUCCUUGACAAUACAUAGGAAUAAGAUGGGUUAAAAGAAGAAGGACACAGCAAUACAUUUUAGUGCAAUUGAGCCAGUGGCCUGAUUAUUCAAGACAGUAUAUACAUAUAUAUGUACUGCUCAAAAAAUUAAAGAUACA